rnacentral:tRNA from 1 species
UCCCCCGUAGCUCAAUUGGUAGAGCGCCUUACUGACAGCAGGGAGGUUAGACGUUCAAUCCGUCUCGGGGGAGCCA